CCCCUCCAUUCAAACUUCAACACUACAUAUAAAACACACUCCUGCAUUGAAACGUCAACACUGCAUACAAGCACACUCCUACAUUCAAAAACAAACACUACACAUAAAUGCACACUUGCAUUCAAACUCCAGUACCACAUACAAACACAUUCACACAAACAUACUCCAUACAAACACAUGCUUACAUUCAAACAUACUAACAUGGCUCAGUGCUAAAUACAACCCUGCAAGCAUAGGAAAUUGGUAGAGUCCCAGCUGUCAAAGCAUUGUUGGAGUUGCACGACAGAUGGGGUUCUACCUUUAGUCCAACCUUGCAAUUGGGGGUCCC